rnacentral:lncRNA from 1 species
GGAAAAAUAACCCCCUCCUCCAACAAAAUAUUCUGGAAGUGUAAUCAUUACACUUAUCUUCCCUAAGCUAUUUAAAAGACUGAAGCUGGGAAAAAGGAAAGAAAAAAAAAAAGAAAAGAAAAAAGGAGAAAAAAAAGCUGAAGAAAUGUUUUUCCUAUUAUUGCUUAACAAGAAAUAGGCAACAAAUCAAAAGAAGAUGCAGUAAAAACAAAAACACAGAAAACCCCAUGUCUGCUAUCUUGAUAAGAGGUUCACUCCUUUCUGUGCACCUGUGAACAGUUUAUCCGGAAGGAAGAAGAGAUUAUUUCAGUCUGGAGAAGAGAAGGCUCAGGGGAGACCUUAUUGCUCUGUACGACUACC